CCUUGUAUGCCGCACUGGUGCUUCUUGCUAGCAGCUUGGGUAGUGAUUACAGUUCAGUUGCCGCGCGGUCUACCACCCCCGUCAGAGAGGAUGCCGACAGGGACAGAGAUGUUGCCUCCUCGACUACAACAACUUCAGGAUCCGGAGCAGCAGCCUCUUCUUCUGAUGAGGCAUCGCUCAGGUGUCCGCCCUCUACAAUAUCAUCCAUCACCUCCAGAAAAUGAUGGGAAUUAUCUUUACCGGCAUCACACUCGGGAUCUUUCUGUCCUCGAGUUGAAGACUCAGCCAAGUCAGAUGUCCCGGCAUGAGGCUGCCUGCCCUCACACCAUCCUACAUUCAAACAACAACACUUGAAUAAGAAAACUGACUUUUAAAUAUCUUAAAUAACUUCAUCACAACCAGCACAAUGUAUAAUAUGUUGACAAUAAAAAAUUGUAUUAUCUUUC